rnacentral:rRNA from 1 species
AGGAUAAACGCUGGCGGCGUGCAUGAGACAUGCAAGUCGAACGGACGAUCAGGGCUUGCUCUGAUCGUUAGUGGCGGACGGCUGAGUAACGCGUAGGUGACCUGCCCCGAAGUGGGGAAUAACUGCCCGAAAGGGUGGCUAAUACCGUAUGUGGUGGUGUGUUCAUUCACACCAGUAAAGCCGCAAGGCGCUUCGGGAGGGGCCUGCGUCCGAUUAGCUCGUUGGUGGGGUAACGGCUCACCAAGGCGACGAUCGGUAGGUGGUCUGAGAGGACGAUCACCCAGACUGGGACUGAGACACGGCCCAGACUCCUACGGGAGGCAGCAGUCGGGAAUUUUGCGCAAUGGACGAAAGUCUGACGCAGCAACGCCGCGUGAGGGAUGAAGGCCUUCGGGUUGUAAACCUCUUUUAUCAGGGAGAUAAUGACGGUACCUGAUGAAUAAGUCACGGCUAACUACGUGCCAGCAGCCGC